CGUCCGUCCCUCCCUCCUUCCCUAUGUCCAUCACAUUGUUUCGUCACAGAUUUUCGAAGUGGAGAUACAAUUCGCAUGCCAUAUUUCGCAUACUCUUAAAAGUGGGCCAUUGGGUGGCCUUUUUUUCUUUUUUUUUAAGGUGGCUCACAAAGCUGCACAACCUUCACUGCAAUUUCCAGAACAUUUCCAUCACCGCCAAAAGAAAUAAACACCUCUACUACCCCUCCCCCCUUCCUGUCCGCGCCUCGCCCCCACCCGCCGUCACCGUCGCCCUCGCCGUCACCGUCGCCCUCGCCCUCACCCGGGCUCUCUUCACUGUUCUCCCCCAACAGGGAGUAGAAAGGGAAGUUAGAGGGAACAUUCUUCCUCCCCUACACCUGCUGAACGCACAUGGACACACACCGCAACCCUCCCCGCCAGGCGCGCGCACCCACCCACCCCCGCCCCGCCAAGCCCCGCCCCGCCACGCCACGCCACGCCACGCCCCCCAUCCCGGCCUUACGUGUACCUUACGUACCUCUGCACGGACUCGAGAUUUGGCAAUAGCCUUGAUUGCCCUGCAAUGUUUCCAAACCUCGGCGCUCCCCAACCUUCCCCACCCCGACCCCCGCCCCUUCGAAGAAGAACUAACCUAAUUCGGGGAGCUUCCAGGUUGCUUGAACGCCUGAAAUGGUGGGGACAGAGGCGUUCCUGGAGAGGGGUCACGGAACACGGAAGCUCUGCCCCCCUUCCCUUUGCCUCUGUUCCAUCUGGAGUUUCCUCAGUUGUAUCCUUUUAGGACACAGCGGUCAUGUAAGAAAUGAGAAAAAAAAGGACUGAAGGACUGAACCGGGCUAGACUGGUUUAAAAUUCUUCACUAGCGUCCAUGCCGAAUACAUUUCGACGACAGGGGCCUUCGCACGGCUUUUGGUGCACAGAAGACCGAUGCACCGAAGCCUGCCGAUCUCGGGACGUGUCCACGAGGGGAAAGAGUGUCAGCCUAUCGGAAAAGAGAGUCGGUUAACGUAGAUUGCAAAGGCAUUCGUUCAUCCCGAGAGACUUCCUCUCCAUGAUGGCGGGUGGCGCGAGAUGGAAGAGUUGGCUUCCAUGAAAAAGGGGCCCUUUCUUGAAGACCCUGCCCAGCUAUCGGGGUUUUGUUGGUUUGUGUUUUGUCAUCUGUGAUAGGAAGGCAUCUUCUUAGCCAUCGGGAGGGAAACCUCAACAAAUUCAGCCAUUCAGAUCACAAGGGAUUUCUUGGGUUUGGUGGAUCUGAGAUCUGGUCUGCCUCCGACUGCUCCCCGAGAUUGCCUUUAUGCCGAGAAUGGGAUUCCUCAUCAGACACACAGAAGUCCGGCUCCUUGCCACGGAGCUGGCUGCUCUAUGGAUGCCUUUAAAAAGGAAGCCUGCCUUUAAUUCGGACGUCGGAACGUGAUCGGUCGCUUUUUCAUGGGGGGUUGGCCAAUUAAAUUUCCCCCGCCUUGGGCGCCUGGGUGGCUCAGUUGGUUAAGCGGCUGCCUUCGGCUCCGGUCAUGAUCCUGGAGUCCCUGGAUCGAGUCCCGCAUCGGGCUCCCUGCUCAGCAGGGAGUCUGCUUCUCCCUCUGACCCUCCCCCCUCUCAUGUGCUCUCUCUCAUUCAUUCUCUCUCUCUCUCUCUCUCUCUCUCUCUCUCUGUCUCAAAUAAAUAAACAAACAAACAAACAAACAAAUAAAUAAAUAAAUAAAAUCUUAAAAAAAAAAAAUUCCCCCCGCCUUACAAAGCAGAGACUGGUGAAGGGUCCUCCAAGUGCCCUCUGGAAAUCAAGAGCUUCUGUAUCAAGAGGCUGGAAAACGCAUCUUCCCCUUCUUCCUGGUGAAUCCAAUUCUAGGGGUUGAUUCAAAGGAAAUCAUGUUUUAGAUGCUAAAACGUAAAGCUUACUUUUGCAAAAAUGUGCAUCGCGGCAUAGGGUUUAGGAAUCCCUUGUGGCAGACCGACAACCGUGUGUCCCUCACGUCCCGGCACGUGUGCACCCUCACGUCCUAUGACUUCGAUGCUCCUGCUAUCCAGAGGUAGGCUUGAUUGCUCUGUCCCUUGAUUUUGGACCGGGUCUUGGGACUUGUCUUGACCCAAAGAAUAGAGCAGAAGUGACACUUGGCUGGUUUCACAGCCUACACCUGAAGAGGUGGUCUGCCGGCGUUCUCGACCUUCUUGGCAUGCCGUCCUGAGACCUCCACGUAAGAAAGCCAGUCUAGCUGACUGGAGCAUGAGAGGCAUUGACAACAGAGGCAGCCCGGUGCUCGGCGGCACCGACUGCCAGACGUGUGAAAGUUGACCCUCUGGCCGAAAGCCACUGCUUGAGUGAGCCCGGCGUAAACCCGCAGAACCCAAGGGGCCACCCAGGGCAAGCACCAGGAAGUUAUCGAUAAAGAAAUGCUGUUUCGAGCCAUUGCGGUGUUAGGAUGAUGCACCCUGAGGAUCAGCUAGCUGCGCAGCAGCGAUAGAUACCGUGCACACAGAUACACACCACACAACACACCACACCACACCCCCCCCCCACACACACGUGUGCAGAAAACCAAACCAACGAAACAAACCAAAACUCUGUAGAACCCUGCACCAAAUGUUGAGGAAACAACGGCCCACCCUCACAAGAAACACCUGCACGCUACAUGUACAAUGCAUAGGGAGCCUAUACUUGCAAGUGCUUACUUGCAUGGGAAACAUUUCACGAUAACAUGAGUCUCAGAUGGCCCAAGCGGGGUUCUUUUGACAUGUCUGAAUUGUGUACACAAUUAGAGAAAGCCUGCUAGGAGACUGGGUGAUCAGAAACUAGGAAGCUCUUUGGUUCCCUCAGUGAAGCCCCGACUUUUGGGGAGGAACCAACACUCAGGGAGAUGCUCUGGUCUUCAUUUGGUUGGUUGGUUGGUUGGUUGGUUGGUUGGUUGGUUGCUGCAGCUUUUGCUAUCUUUGCAUAAAACCGACCCUGUUUCCAUUGGGAAUGGAAAACAACUGACGGGUGGGAUCUGUACACGGUAAUGCUGCUUCGCAGUUGCAUUUGUUUUACUAAAAGAGGGAGAUUUGAACAUUGGGUCUUUCGUGUCCUCUCCAUUCAUGUCCUCUCCACAAAUAAGACUGAAACAAAGGCUAAAAUUUGUUUGCAUCUUGUUUGUGUCUAUGUGUCCGUAUGUGUUAUACAUGUGAGGUAUUUCCUCCACCUCCGGGUGCUAUUGCUAACAUCCAUUUGUAAAGGAGCUCUAUUUAAUGAGUUCUAUUUUUAUUUUAUUUUAUUUUAUUUUAUUUAUUUUAUUCUUUAAAGAUUUUAUUUAUUUAUUUGACAGAGAGAGACACAGCGAGAGAGGGAACACAAGCAGGCGGAGUGGGAGAGGGAGAAGCAGGCUUCCCGCCGAGCAGGGAGCCCGAUGCAGGGGCUUGAUCCCAGGACCCUCGGAUCAUGACCUGAGCUAAAGGCAGACGCUUAACCACUGAGCCAUCCAGUCAAAAUAAUGAAGAAGAGGAGGAAGACAGGCCGAUGCUAGAAAUCUGAAAUCCACUCCUCCUCCUCCCCAAGUACAGGCACCAGAACCGAUGCCCAACCCACUGGCUUCCGGAGGGCUGAAAAGCCACCACAGACAAAGCCUAUUAAGCAGAAGGAGAUGAAGAAAGGGGCGGAGGCGGAGGCGGAGGCGGAGGCGGAGGCGGAGGCGGAGGCGGAGGCGGAGGCGGAGGCGGAGGCGGAGGCGGAGGCGGAGGCGGAGGCGGAGGCGGAGGCGGAGGCGGAGAAGAAAAAAAAGAAAAGGCCCUGCUACCAAAUACUGGCUGUCUCUGCAGAAGUCUGGACUCAAGGUCAACUGAUAAUGGCUGCAGCCUAUGAAGAAGCGAGGUCCUGAUUCCUUACCUGAGAAAAGGAGCCUAAGACCCCAUCCAGGUUGUACCAGCUCUCAGAGCAUGCCCACAGCCUCUUCUCCUUGUCCUCAGAUAACCUCCUGACAUCAGGGACUCAGUUUUGCCUCAUUCAGAUGUCAGGUCUCCACCCCGAAGUAAACAUGGGAAUCUAUGAGAAAUUAGAUCCCAUCCAGCAAGAGCUGAAUCCGAGUCCUCUGCUCACCCCACGACGGAAAAGAAUAUGCACAGGCCUGCAUCCCUCUUCUCCUUCUCCACCAUGUCGGAAGAAAAGAUUUUACUGGACAGAGACACAGCGAGAGAGGGAACGCAAGCAGAGGGAGUGGGAGAGGGAGAAGCGGGCUUCCCGCCGAGCAGGGAGCCCGAUGCGGGGCUCGAUUAUCGGGACCCUGGCACCCUGGCACCCUGGCACCCUGGGAUCAUGACCUGAGCCGAAGGCAGACGCUUAAUGACUGAGCCACCCAGUCGCCCCCCACUUUCCACCUUGACCGUGCCUAGUCGUCCACCCGUCUAGUCCUCUUGGCCGCGCCUGGUCUUGCCCUCGAAUGUGUUCGUCUGGAGCACAGAGCUAGAUCCAGAGAAUGAGAGAAUGAGAUCGAUGGACCCACGGACGGAAAUCAAGUUUCUCUUUCCCUGAAAUGACCUAGGACACUCCUCUUCUAGUCAGCUCCCAUCCUGCUCCCCCACCCCCAACAACCUCUCAUCGGACCUUCCCCUUUUGCCACCAGAAAGCUUUUCCACUCCUCCGCCUGGCCUGCGUUUGCUUGGCGUCUCUGCCAGACCCAGGCGGUGGUGGCCGACCGCAGACUCUCUUGCCCUCAAGAAAUGAUUCCCGCUCUCAUGUGGGUGAUCUUUUAUCUCCACAGAGGUGGCUCACAAAGCUGCACAACCUUCACUGCAAUUUCCAGAACAUUUCCAUCACCGCCAAAAGAAAUAAACACCUCUACUACCCCUCCCCCCUUCCUGUCCGCGCCUCGCCCCCACCCGCCGUCACCGUCGCCCUCGCCGUCACCGUCGCCCUCGCCCUCACCCGGGCUCUCUUCACUGUUCUCCCCCAACAGGGAGUAGAAAGGGAAGUUAGAGGGAACAUUCUUCCUCCCCUACACCUGCUGAACGCACAUGGACACACACCGCAACCCUCCCCGCCAGGCGCGCGCACCCACCCACCCCCGCCCCGCCAAGCCCCGCCCCGCCACGCCACGCCACGCCACGCCCCCCAUCCCGGCCUUACGUGUACCUUACGUACCUCUGCACGGACUCGAGAUUUGGCAAUAGCCUUGAUUGCCCUGCAAUGUUUCCAAACCUCGGCGCUCCCCAACCUUCCCCACCCCGACCCCCGCCCC